rnacentral:rRNA from 1 species
UAAAGUGGCGCACGGGUGAGUAACACGUGACUAACCUACCCUGGAGUGGGGGAUAACUGAGGGAAACCUUAGCUAAUACCGCAUAAUACCUAUGGGUCAAAGGAGCAAUUCGCUUUGGGAGGGGGUCGCGGCAGAUUAGCUAGUUGGCGGGGUAAUGGCCCACCAAGGCAGUGAUCUGUAUCCGGCCUGAGAGGGCGCACGGACACACUGGAACUGAAACACGGUCCAG